rnacentral:rRNA from 1 species
UAGGGAAUCUUCCGCAAUGGGCGAAAGCCUGACGGAGCAACGCCGCGUGAGUGAUGAAGGUCUUCGGAUCGUAAAACUCUGUUAUUAGGGAAGAACAAAUGUGUAAGUAACUAUGCACGUCUUGACGGUACCUAAUCAGAAAGCCACGGCUAACUACGUGCCAGCAGCCGCGGUAAUACGUAGGUGGCAAGCGUUAUCCGGAAUUAUUGGGCGUAAAGCGCGCGUAGGCGGUUUGUUAAGUCUGAUGUGAAAGCCUACGGCUCAACCGUGGAGAGUCAUUGGAAACUGGAAAACUUGAGUGCAGAAGAGGAAAGUGGAAUUCAAUGUGUAGCGGUGAAAUGCGCAGAGAUAUGGAGGAACACCAGUGGCGAAGGAGACUUUCUGGUCUGUAACUGACGCUGAUGUGCGAAAGCGUGGGGAUCAAACAGG